ensembl:lncRNA
CUCUGUAAUAAGAAGACGGGGGCUCACGUGUCUCAAAUAAAAUUAAAUAAAAUAAAAUAUUUACAGCAGCUGACCUGUCGUACAAAUAACAGUUGUUUCUGGGAAAAAUUGGCUCCUCCCACCCAGCGUGCCGUUGUGACGCCGACUGAUUUACUGGCGAUUGCCGCUGCCUGCCACAAAGUUGCCACCCACUUGCCACUGCCACAAGGAGGAUCUCGGCCCUAGUGUGAACGCACCUUCACAGAGAAAGAGAAAGAACCAGCACGUGGUCUGAGACCGGUAUUUUAUUCUUAACUUUGUAAAUGAGUUCUGAUGGACUUCACAGACUGAGGAGUUUUACUUGUUGAAGAGCUUCAGAUCACAGGACUCAAGACGUCCAAGGUAAGGAGAGAAGGACUUCAUCGAUAACACAAGAUAUUUACGGUUAAUAAUAUUUGUUUAGUUUAUUAAAUAUAAUUAACCUGUAAAAAGAUGAAAUGCAUUGAUCAGAUCAGAAUUUAACCUGAUCAUCAAGAUAAAAAACAGCUAACUCACAACUGCUCUGCACUUUAGCUUGUUAGGACUUCACUUACUGUUACUGUACUGUUUUAUAUUUAUAUUGCACACAUUUCAUUUAAUAUAAGUUUUUUUUUACAACCUGCUCAGUUUUGCACUUUUCCCCUUACCUCAUUUCUGCCUUAUUUUUAUUUUUAUUUCAUGUACGUUUAUGUAAAUAUUGGAUUUUAAUUUUAAUUUUAAAAUUUGUCGGCUUUCCAGAAAAGGCAAGCACAAUAAUUUCAAUACACAGCUCGUGUGUAACUGACAAUAAAACAUCUUUGAAUCUCUGCGUAAAGAAUCCUAAUCAGCCUCAUGAGGUUGUGCGUGUUCCCUGUGUGGUGUUUGUUACACAUUUCGGUACGUAGAUGUUCACUCUGAGGUCUGUGGAGCCAAAUGCAGAACACGAGCUUUGACACUCGAGAGAUUCAUGUGGUCGUUGAACGAUACAAUCUGAGAUAGUUUAGUGAUUUUAUUCUAUGAUUCUGACGAGUAGAGUCCAGAACAGCCAAACAGAACUUGGUUCCUGGCGUCAAUGGUUUCACAUCAUUCUGAAUACAGUGUGUAGAAAGUGUUGAUCCAUAAAACUCUUUGUUCCUACGUCUCCUGAAGGCAAC